GACGAACGCUGGCGGCGUGCUUAACACAUGCAAGUCGAACGGAAAGGCCCUGCUUUUGUGGGGUGCUCGAGUGGCGAACGGGUGAGUAACACGUGAGUAACCUGCCCUUGACUUUGGGAUAACUUCAGGAAACUGGGGCUAAUACCGGAUAGGAGCUCCUGCUGCAUGGUGGGGGUUGGAAAGUUUCGGCGGUUGGGGAUGGACUCGCGGCUUAUCAGCUCGUUGGUGGGAUAGUGGCUUACCAAGGCUUUGACGGGUAGCCGGCCUGAGAGGGUGACCGGCCACAUUGGGACUGAGAUACGGCCCAGACUCCUACGGGAGGCAGCAGUGGGGAAUAUUGCACAAUGGGCGGAAGCCUGAUGCAGCAACGCCGCGUGCGGGAUGACGGCCUUCGGGUUGUAAACCGCUUUCGCCUGUGACGAAGCGUGAGUGACGGUAAUGGGUAAAGAAGCACCGGCUAACUACGUG
rnacentral:rRNA from 1 species